UACCAGACUCCUACGGGAGGCAGCAGUGGGGAAUAUUGCACAAUGGGGGAAACCCUGAUGCAGCAACGCCGCGUGAGUGAAGAAGUAUUUCGGUAUGUAAAGCUCUAUCAGCAGGGAAGAGAAUGACGGUACCUGACUAAGAAGCCCCGGCUAACUACGUGCCAGCAGCCGCGGUAAUACGUAGGGGGCAAGCGUUAUCCGGAUUUACUGGGUGUAAAGGGCGUGUAGGCGGGGACGCAAGUCAGAUGUGAAAACCACGGGCUCAACCUGUGGCCUGCAUUUGAAACUGUGUUUCUUGAGUACUGGAGAGGCAGACGGAAUUCCUAGUGUAGCGGUGAAAUGCGUAGAUAUUAGGAGGAACACCAGUGGCGGAGGCGGCUUACUGGACUGUAACUGACGUUGAGGCUCGAAAGCGUGGGGAGCAAACAGGAUUAGAUACCCCAGUAUCG
rnacentral:rRNA from 1 species